UUCGUGGUGGUCCAGUGGCUAGGACUCUGCACUCCCAGUGCAGGGGACCUGGGUUCAAUCCCUGGUCAUGGAA
rnacentral:tRNA from 1 species